rnacentral:rRNA from 1 species
AUUGAACGCUGGCGGCAGGCCUAACACAUGCAAGUCGAGCGGAUGACGGGAGCUUGCUCCUGGAUUCAGCGGCGGACGGGUGAGUAAUGCCUAGGAAUCUGCCUGGUAGUGGGGGACAACGUUUCGAAAGGAACGCUAAUACCGCAUACGUCCUACGGGAGAAAGCAGGGGACCUUCGGGCCUUGCGCUAUCAGAUGAGCCUAGGUCGGAUUAGCUAGUUGGUGAGGUAAUGGCUCACCAAGGCGACGAUCCGUAACUGGUCUGAGAGGAUGAUCAGUCACACUGGAACUGAGACACGGUCCAGACUCCUACGGGAGGCAGCAGUGGGGAAUAUUGGACGAUGGGCGAAAGCCUGAUCCAGCCAUGCCGCGUGUGUGAAGAAGGUCUUCGGAUUGUAAAGCACUUUAAGUUGGGAGGAAGGGUUGUAGAUUAAUACUCUGCAAUUUUGACGUUACCGACAGAAUAAGCACCAGCUAACUCUGUGCCAGCCGCCGAAGUAACAC